rnacentral:rRNA from 1 species
UACGUAUGGGGCAAGCGUUAUCCGGAUUUACUGGGUGUAAAGGGAGCGUAGACGGUCUUAUAAGUCUGAUGUGAAAACCCGCGGCUCAACUGCGGGAUUGCAUUGGAAACUGUAAAACUUGAGUGCUGGAGGGGUAAGCGGAAUUCCUGGUGUAGCGGUGAAAUGCGUAGAUAUCAGGAGGAACACCGGCGGCGAAGGCGGCUUACUGGACAGCAACUGACGUUGAGGCUCGAAAGCGUGGGGAG